CCCUAGCCCCGAUAGUAGUGGAAAUCCUUUUUCUUUUUCCUUUAAAAAGAAAAAGAUUGAAACAGAUAGCGGGAAUAAGC
rnacentral:sRNA from 1 species